rnacentral:rRNA from 1 species
AGAGUUUGAUCCUGGCUCAGGACGAACGCUGGCGGCGUGCCUAAUACAUGCAAGUCGAACGCUUCUUUUCCCACCGGAGCUUGCUCACCGGGAAAAGAGGAGUGGCGAACGGGUGAGUAACACGUGGGUAACCUGCCCAUCAGAAGGGGAUAACACUUGGAAACAGGUGCUAAUACCGUAUAACAAUCGAAACCGCAUGGUUUCUUUUGAAAGGCGCUUUACGGUGCCGCUGAUGGAUGGACCCGCGGUGCAUUAGCUAGUUGGUGAGGUAACGGCUCACCAAGGCCACGAUGCAUAGCCGACCUGAGAGGGUGAUCGGCCACAUUGGGACUGAGACACGGCCCAAACUCCUACGGGAGGCAGCAGUAGGGAAUCUUCGGCAAUGGACGAAAGUCUGACCGAGCAACGCCGCGUGAGUUAAGAAGGUUUUCGGAUCGUAAAACUCUGUUGUUAGAGAAGAACAAGGGUGAGAGUAACUGUUCACCCCUUGACGGUAUCUAACCAGAAAGCCACGGCUAACUACGUGCCAGCAGCCGCGGUAAU